UGGGGAAUAUUGGACAAUGGGGGGAACCCUGAUCCAGCCAUGCCGCGUGUGUGAAGAAGGCCUUAUGGUUGUAAAGCACUUUAAGCGAGGAGGAGGGUACUGGUAUUAAUACUACCAGGUACUGGACGUUACUCGCAGAAUAAGCACCGGCUAACUCUGUGCCAGCAGCCGCGGUAAUACAGAGGGUGCGAGCGUUAAUCGGAUUUACUGGGCGUAAAGCGUGCGUAGGCGGCUAAUUGAGUCGGAUGUGAAAUCCCCGAGCUUAACUUGGGAAUUGCAUUCGAUACUGGUUAGCUAGAGUGUGGGGGAGGAUGGUAGAAUUCCAGGUGUAGCGGUGAAAUGCGUAGAGAUCUGGGGGAAUACCGAGGGCGAAGGCAGCCAUCUGGCCUAACACUGACGCUGAGGUACGAAAGAAUGGGGAGAAAACAGG
rnacentral:rRNA from 1 species